rnacentral:rRNA from 1 species
AGAUUGAACGCUGGCGGAAUGCUUUACACAUGCAAGUCGAACGGCAGCACGGGGCAACCUGGUGGCGAGUGGCGAACGGGUGAGUAAUACAUCGGAACGUGCCCAAUCGUGGGGAUAACGUAGCGAAAGUUACGCUAAUACCGCAUACGAUCUACGGAUGAAAGCGGGGGAUCGCAAGACCUCGCGCGAAUGGAGCGGCCGAUGUCAGAUUAGGUAGUUGGUGGGGUAAAGGCUCACCAAGCCAACGAUCUGUAGCUGGUCUGAGAGGACGACCAGCCACACUGGAACUGAGACACGGUCCAGACUCCUACGGGAGGCAGCAGUGGGGAAUUUUGGACAAUGGGCGCAAGCCUGAUCCAGCCAUUCCGCGUGCAGGAUGAAGGCCUUCGGGUUGUAAACUGCUUUUGUACGGAACGAAACGGCGAGCUCUAAUACAGUUUGCUAAUGACGGUACCGUAAGAAUAAGCACCGGCUAACUACGUG